GAGAGUUAAACAGUACGUGAAAUUGUUGAAAGGGAAACGAUUGAAGUCAGUCGUGCCGGCGCGAAAUCAGCUUGACCGUAGGAGAUCACAGGCUGUGGCGAGCCUCAAAACCGCCACAACUUGUGCUCCCCUGUCGGCCUCGUGCACUUUCGUGUCGGCUGGUUAACAUCAAUUUCGAUCGUCAUAAAAAGGCUGGAGGGAUGUGGCUCCUUCGGGAGUGUUAUAACCUUUGGCGGAAUGUGGUGGUCGGGAUUGAGGCUUGCAACGAAUACCUUCAGGGCUGUUCCACCUGGCCUCUCAUCGGAAUUCUGGCGGCGACAGCUUGCUGACGUUGUUAGGAUCGGCCUUCGAACAGGCUAGAGUGUGAGCAAAUUCGUUAAGGAUGUUAACGUAAUGGCUUUAAACGA
rnacentral:rRNA from 1 species